rnacentral:lncRNA from 1 species
AUGUAUGUAUAUUUCUUUUUUCCUUUAAGCAUGUUACCUUUCGCAGUAGUUGAUUUUAAAAAUGGUGGAGGAUUGGCAGUUAUACCGACCAAAUGGUUUAUCGGACCUGAGGAGGAUGCAUGCUACUGGCCACCAGCAAGGGUGAACAUGGCAAAGGUGGUCGUAGAGCAACAGGACCCCCACACUGACUGGGCAACAAACAAGUUGACCAUCAAGAGAAAAGCAGGUGAGGAUGAGGAUGAUGACGAUUGGUCCAGCAGCACUAUCAGGCCUACACCUCCACCGCCUCCUUCCACCCUCAGGUCAUCACUUCCAUCGCCUCCAUCCACCCUCAGGUCUGUGCUGACACCUCCACCAUCUCCAUCCACACUCAGGUCUGUGCUGACACCUCCACUGCCUCCCUCCACCCUCAGAUCAUCACCUCCACCGCCUCCAUGUACCAGGCCUACACCUCCACCACCUAUGGGUAACCUUAGAUGGCCCAAUGGCUCAACCCAUCACCACCUCACCACCAGAAACCCCUCGAACACAAAUCAGGGACAGCAUGUUUGUUCGCAUCUUAAUCCAAGGGAGAAUGCUACGAACACUUCUACAACAGCGCGGCAACAUUGGCACCAUGCUUCCACAGCAGAGGGUUUCCCCCUAAAGACAGUUAGGGAUGUAGAAAUCAUGGAAGAAAAGCUGGCAAACCCAGGCUUCAUGUCUGAACUGGUAUGCAUGUUAAAUCUCGCUAAUGCAACUCAAUUCAGAUUUAUUGGGGGUCUAGCAGUGAAUUUGAUCCAAAACUUCCCAAGUGUCCUCACAACCAUGCCUGUGAAAGUUCUAUCAUGUUGUGUGGUUUACUCCAAUGAGCAAUAA